UAGGGAAUCUUCCACAAUGGACGCAAGUCUGAUGGAGCAACGCCGCGUGAGUGAAGAAGGUUUUCGGAUCGUAAAGCUCUGUUGUUGGUGAAGAAGGAUAGAGGCAGUAACUGGUCUUUAUUUGACGGUAAUCAACCAGAAAGUCACGGCUAACUACGUGCCAGCAGCCGCGGUAAUACGUAGGUGGCAAGCGUUGUCCGGAUUUACUGGGCGGAAAGCGAGCGCAGGCGGAAUGAUAAGGCUGAUGUGAAAGCCAACGGCUCAACCGAGGAACUGCAUCGGAAACUGUCAUUCUUGAGUACAGAAGAGGAGAGUGGAAUUCAAUGUGUAGCGGUGGAAUGCGUAGAUAUAAGGAAGAACACCAGUGGCGAAGGCGACUCUCUGGACUGCAACUGACGCUGAGGCUCGAAAGCAUGGGGAGCGAACAGG
rnacentral:rRNA from 1 species